rnacentral:rRNA from 1 species
GACGAACGCUGGCGGCGUGCUUAACACAUGCAAGUCGAGCGGAAAGGCCUUUUCGGGGGUACUCGAGCGGCGAACGGGUGAGUAACACGUGAGUAAUCUGCCCUUGGCUUUGGGAUAACCACCGGAAACGGUGGCUAAUACCGGAUAUGACGGGCUCCGGCAUCGGGGUUCGUGGAAAGUUUUUCGGCCAGGGAUGUGCUCGCGGCCUAUCAGCUUGUUGGUGGGGUAAUGGCCUACCAAGGCUUCGACGGGUAGCCGGCCUGAGAGGGUGACCGGCCACACUGGGACUGAGACACGGCCCAGACUCCUACGGGAGGCAGCAGUGGGGAAUAUUGGACAAUGGGCGGAAGCCUGAUCCAGCAACGCCGCGUGAGGGAUGACGGCCUUCGGUUGUAACCGUACUUCUAGUACCGACGAAGACGCCG